UACGAAGGGGGCUAGCGUUGCUCGGAAUCACUGGGCGUAAAGGGUGCGUAGGCGGGUUUUUAAGUCAGAGGUGAAAUCCUGGAGCUCAACUCCAGAACUGCCUUUGAUACUGAAAGUCUUGAGUAUGGGAGAGGUGAGUGGAACUGCGAGUGUAGAGGUGAAAUUCGUAGAUAUUCGGAAGAACACCAGUGGCGAAGGCGGCUCACUGGCCCGAUACUGACGCUGAGGAGCGAAAGCGUGGGGAGCGAACAGG
rnacentral:rRNA from 1 species